UAGCGUUGCUCGGAAUCACUGGGCGUAAAGCGCACGUAGGCGGACUCUUAAGUCAGGGGUGAAAUCCUGGAGCUCAACUCCAGAACUGCCUUUGAUACUGGGAGUCUUGAGUUCGGGAGAGGUUAGUGGAACUGCGAGUGUAGAGGUGAAAUUCGUAGAUAUUCGCAAGAACACCAGUGGCGAAGGCGGCUCACUGGCCCGAUACUGACGCUGAGGUGCGAAAGCGUGGGGAGCAAACAGG
rnacentral:rRNA from 1 species